rnacentral:rRNA from 1 species
GAUGAACUCUGGCGGCGUGCCUAAUACAUGCAAGUCGAGCGAACGGACGAGAAGCUUGCUUCUCUGAUGUUAGCGGCGGACGGGUGAGUAACACGUGGAUAACCUACCUAUAAGACUGGGAUAACUUCGGGAAACCGGAGCUAAUACCGGAUGAUAUUUUGAACCGCAUGGUUCAAAAGUGAAAGACGGUCUUGCUGUCACUUAUAGAUGGAUCCGCGCUGCAUUAGCUAGUUGGUAAGGUAACGGCUUACCAAGGCAACGAUGCAUAGCCGACCUGAGAGGGUGAUCGGCCACACUGGAACUGAGACACGGUCCAGACUCCUACGGGAGGCAGCAGUAGGGAAUCUUCCGCAAUGGGCGAAAGCCUGACGGAGCAACGCCGCGUGAGUGAUGAAGGUCUUCGGAUCGUAAAACUCUGUUAUUAGGGAAGAACAUAUGUGUAAGUAACUGUGCACAUCUUGACGGUACCUAAUCAGAAAGCCACGGCUAACUACGUG